rnacentral:rRNA from 1 species
AAUGAACGCUGGCGGCAUGCCUUACACAUGCAAGUCGAACGGCAGCAUGACCUAGCUUGCUAGGUUGAUGGCGAGUGGCGCACGGGUGAGUAAUGCAUCGGAACGUGCCUUUUAGUGGGGGAUAACGUAGCGAAAGUUACGCUAAUACCGCAUAUUCUCUGAGGAGGAAAGCAGGGGACCUUCGGGCCUUGCGCUAGAAGAGCGGCCGAUGUCGGAUUAGCUAGUUGGUGAGGUAAAGGCUCACCAAGGCAACGAUCCGUAGCGGGUCUGAGAGGAUGAUCCGCCACACUGGGACUGAGACACGGCCCAGACUCCUACGGGAGGCAGCAGUGGGGAAUUUUGGACAAUGGGCGAAAGCCUGAUCCAGCCAUGCCGCGUGAGUGAAGAAGGCCUUCGGGUUGUAAAGCUCUUUCGGCUGGGAAGAAAUCGCACCCUCUAAUACAGGGUGUGGAUGACGGUACCAGCAGAAGAAGCACCGGCUAACUACGUG